rfam:Rhodoferax ferrireducens T118, complete genome.
GACGAAUCUAUUGUUUGCCAAGCUCUGCGGUUACCGCCUCAGGGGUAGGGCAACGAAAAGAGGAAUCA